AUUGAACGCUGGCGGCGUGCUUAACACAUGCAAGUCGAGCGAUGAAGUUUCUUCGGAAAUGGAUUAGCGGCGAACGGGUGAGGAACACGUGAAGAAUCUGCCCUCCACUUAGGGAUAACACAGGGAAACCUGUGCUAAUACCGAAUAUUGAAACAUAAGUGGCAUCACUGAGUUUUGAAAGAAUUUCGGUGGAGGAUGACUUCGCGGCCUAUCAGCUAGUUGGUGAGGUAAUGGCUCACCAAGGCAACGACGGGUAGCCGGCCUGAGAGGGCGACCGGCCACACUGGGACUGAGACACGGCCCAGACUCCUACGGGAGGCAGCAGUGGGGAAUAUUGGGCAAUGGAGGAAACUCUGACCCAGCGACGCCGCGUGCGGGAUGAAGGCCUUCGGGUUGUAAACCGCUUUCAGUAGGGAAGAAGCGAAAGUGACGGUACCUACAAAAGAAGCACCGGCUAACUAUGUGCCAGCCGCCGCCGUAA
rnacentral:rRNA from 1 species